CCGAUCCUGGCCGGUUAGAAGUAGGGCUCAUGCCUAGAUUUCAUGGCGAUCUGGGCCGAUUCCCUUUCCUAGACAAAGGGCCGUGUCUGGAAGGAAAGACUUGAAAUUUAGAGGAAAUUGUGCAGUGUUUAUUUCGACCUCCCAUGGCUGUUUUCUUGCAAAGAUGAGUAAAUUGGUAAUCUGAAGAUAUAACUCUAAGGUGAGUUAAUUGCGUGAAGUGUAAUUUUAUUGAAGCUUUUAAUGUUGUAUUUCUUGGAUUUUCUUUUCUUGGUUUUGGCUAAAUAAAAAUUCUAAUUAAUGCGUACUGAGUUUUGAGUAUGGUAAAUCAGCUGAUAUCUUACUUUCAGAAGAAACUAAGCAUUCUGGGAAGUUGCUUCAGCGCUAUUGUAUUAACACCCCACCUGUAAUUCACUUCUAAUUUCUGUGUUUGCUAUGGAAUAUUAAUUUGAUGCAUACAUGUAUGUGUUGUGUGAGAUUUUUUUUUUUUUUUUUUUUUUCUGAUUUUGUGAUUUAGAUUUUCAGUUGAGUUAUCACAAAUUUAAUGAGUCUCAACAAGAACAAAUAGUUAUCAAGAGAUAACAUGAUUGUGAAAUGUAGCCCUAAUAAGUGAUGCUGGGACACUAGGUAUCAAUGAUCCUGGAAUGGAACUGGUGAGACAUAUAUUAAUGCUGUGAUUUUGCAUUGUUAGCUUCAUGAAGUGUUGCUUUUAUACGUAUACUCAUAUAAGUAUGUAUAUGUCUGUAAAUGUGAGGCAUCUCAGCCUUAGUACGAGACUUCUGCUCCUUGCGCAGAAUGGAAUGCCCUUGAUUGCACUUGCGCAUUUAAAUAACAAGAAUUCAUUGGGCUGAUAAUAUCAUAGAUUCGGGUCUCAUAUAUGGUAUUUUGGAGUAUGGAUGUAGGCAAAGUUGUGUGUGGAUCAAAAUAUACCUGUUAUUCCCGUCCUCGGGUCAUCUUCUUUGAGUUUAUUAAUUAACGAGUUCACAUUUGGUAGUUCUUUUAUAACUCUGGUAUUCAAUUGCUUGAUUAUAUGUGGCUUUCUACCUAAACAUGCUGGAACGAGAAGAGAGAGGCUGAUAGUUUCUGCAAAUGAAGCAGCCACACGGGUCUUCAUUGUUCCUUAUCACAAGCUCUCUCAAUUUCUUGAAUAGGCUUCUUCAAUUUUUGGCAACUCUAUGUAAAUCUUGUCAACGACUGUGGUACCUUUUGUAACCAUUGUUGUAAAUAUAAGUUUGACAAUGAAACAGAUGGGCAUUUAAAAUAUUUGAUAGUUCUCACUUGUUGGAAUGAACACUAAAGCUAUCUCCCACAUAUUGUGAUUCUUUAUUAUUCCUUUCUGAAGGAUUCUAGAACUUCCUUGCUUCUGGAAAAUCAAUUUCACAGUGCGUACAUUUUUUAAACCAGGGGACAAAUGUCAAUCCAAACCGGAGUGUAGACUCCUCCUUUUUUCUAAGUUAGUUGUCUCUAAUUCUGAAAAAUGAAACUGAAGAAAUGCAAUGUAUACGAUCUUUGUCUAAUCACUUUGCAUUUAUCACAGGCGAUGUAUCAUUGCUCGGAGGAUGACUAAAAUACAUGAAGAGAUAAAGAUUGCAAUUUGUGAUUUGCCUAUUUGUUCUCAUUCUAUGUGCCAUUUUAGUAAUUACCUGCUCUAGUUUUUUGAAAAGAGUGGAAUUAAGAGAGAUGAUAAAUUAUGAAUUUGAAAACUGAAAUUCAAUAUCCGUUUUUAAAAUUGCAACUGGACAAUCUAUUAUACAACACUUGAGUCAUGGACACUAGGGUAUACAGAAACAAAUAGCAAAGCCAAAUUAUGGUACACAUUUCAUGCCUGAUCUAAAAUUGAAAUUUAACCAGAAGAACUGGAAAAGACUUCACAGACCACUUCUUCUGAAGAUGGAGAAACUGAAGUCGGUAAAUUCAACUCUCCCCCUCUCUUUUCCUGGAGAAGUUGAGCAGUUGUUUAUUAAGCUGUAUUCUUACUUAUCUUUGAACAUUAACUACAUAUGCCACUAAGGAGCAACAUCUUAGACCUCCCCACAAACUAGUGCCGUCAAUUCUCUUAAUUAACUGUGGGCAAACCCUUUGGACUGGAAAAGGGAGAAAACAGUAUCAGUUUCAUUGUACGCUCUAAUUUCAUUAUGUUUAUUGGCAAUCUAUUUCGUGUUAUUUGUUGUAGUCCCAUUUUAGAAAGAACUGGAGUUUCCUGUGAUAAAUCUUUGUGAUUACUGCUUUCAAUUGCAUGCCCUCCAUCAAUUUAAAUUCCUUAGGGUGUCUUUGGUAGAAGGGGUGGAAGUGGUGAAAUGGAAAGUAACAGGUAUGUUCUUUCCAUUUCUUUAGGAAGGAAGGACAGUCGGAGGCAAUUGGAUUUGUAAUGUUAGUUAGAACAGAAAAGGAAAGAAGACAAAAAUGUCGAGUUUAUGGAAUUUACCUUCUUAUAUAUAAAGGGACUGAAAUCUCUUGUUAACUUGGUCUAGCUUGACAAGAAUGCCUAGAUGGUUAGAAAUAUGUACAAAAAGGUAAGGAAAUAAUGUCGACUAGAAAUUCUAGUCAACUUUGCCUAGUUUGACAAGAAUCCCAAUAUCUUUCGAAAUUCGUGCAAAAAGAAAGAGAUAAUGUCUAAAUGGACUAGGCAUUCUUGUCAGAUUUGCCUAGUUUGAUGACAAUCCCUUGAUGGUAUGAAAUUUGUGCAAAAAGGAAGAGUGAGGAUUUGGUAACACUUUUGAAUAGAGAAGGGCAUAUUUGUCAGAAAUUUCAUAAAAUAAAAAAUAUUUACAAACCCAAAAGUAGUGGAUAAAAUUCAUUUUCUUACUCUAAAAGUGUCAUAUGGAGGAAAUUUCUUCUACACAUAAUGAAGUCUUCAAGAUGAGUAAAAGAGAGUUUUUGCACUUCAACUAAUUGUUAUAUAAUUUUUUCUUCAAUUUUCCCUCAUAUUUGGAGUGUUUUGAAAUGAUGGGUGGGAUUUAGUUCUAUUUCCCAUUCCUUUUAUUUUCUCUCGUACCAAAUGUUGGACGUGUUAGCAUUUCCAUCACAAUUUUGCAUCCCAUUUCUAUCAUUACCAAAUUGAGUGUUUAACAGUUUUCCUUCACCACACUUGCCUAACUUUUUGUAAAGUUUCGAGACUGUCUUCGAUCUGAAGAAAUUGUUGUGUUCUGUGCGUCGUUCAUGAAUCCCAUGAUCUAACUAGCUUGCUUGUAUAAUAAACUUGGGGUGAUGGUGAUAAUUUAACAGUUAGUAUAUGGACACCUCAUCUUUUCUUGGUUAUGGUCCUUUCCAAAUCACUACUGAAAUAUUAUGCAGAUGUGGAUAAGGUUUUUUAAGGUGACUUUUAAUUUUUCUUUUUUUUCCUUGUUCCUUUUUUCACUUUAAUCUCGAUAAUUUACAGAUUUUUUUCAUACUUACAACUGUAUAUAACCCAAUUUACAAGAAUUAAUUACUACAAAAGUCCAGAUUGAAAUUGGAUUCUUAGCCAAGGAAAUUAGAAAUUCUAAUCACAACCACCACUUAAGACAGUUGGGUGCAUGCCUCUGGCAUAAUCCCUUGAUUUUAGCACCUCAUUAAUCGUGUUGUCAUUUGAAAGAGACCAAGAAGACAUAGGUAUAGCCUUGUCAGAAUUUGGCAGUAAUCAGUUAACACCAAACCUGUUGCUAAAGUAGUGGAAUAGUUCCAUUUUUCUUUGAUACAAGGGGUGCACAAAAUGUGGGGUGUAGCAGUUAUAUUAUGCAUUCUUUUAGUUACAAUAACUGAUACUUCAGUCAUUAUAUAAAUUUUCUAUUCAGUGCCCGGGAGAUAAAGGAGCACCGAGGGAUAUGCACAAACAAUUAGGGAUUGUGUGUAGUUACAUGGAAACUGUAGGAGUUUUGGUAUGCAUAGUGAAUGUAAUUCUAAUAAGUGAAACCUGAAAAUUAGAAAAUGAAGCAUAAUAUUUGGCUGCUUGUAUAUGCAUAUGCUUUAUGAACAUGUAUUUAUGAAAUAUUAAUAUGGUGAAAUUAUUUCCUUGGAGAUAUGUUCAUCAUUAUUUAGCAUAUUCAUUCACUCCUAUCAUACUCAAAAAUAAAAAUUACCUAAAUGGGCGUGUUUCUAUGUGAGUUAUUUCAUUUGCCGCCCAUUAAUAGGAUAUUAUUGUGUUCAUUUAGUUCUGGCUUGGUACUCUUGGGGAUGCCAACAAGCAUUCUCAGGCCACCAACCAAAGGGAGAAAUUACACUCUUGAUUGAAGGAAUGACAAUUAGUAAGGAUGAAACUCUUACUGAAUCUCAACUAGAGAAUGAAUUGAAAGAGUUGAUCUUGCUAGGGCAUAGCCUUUUUAUGGUAAUGGCUUUCCCCAUAGUUUCUGUUUUUUCAGAUCCAUUGAUUCGUACAAAUGCAUAUGCUAUGGUUCCCAUGUGGGAUUGGGCUAUAUGCCUAUCGCUUAGGUUUAUAUAGAAUGAUCUGUGUGAUGCCUAUAUUAUUCAAAUGUUAUUGACUUGUAAUAUUGGUUACUAUAAAAAUAGCUGAUGCAUUGAGGACAUAAUUAAUUUGUUAGUUGAUGGCUAUCUUUGAUUUAUCUAUUAAAGCAAUUGUUGCAAUAUUUCUCAAAUGCCACUUAAAAACAGAAAUAUUAGAUUCGUGUCUAGAAUUUGCAAUAUCCUUAAAAUCUGCAGUAACUAGGUUUCUUGGAUACGUGGAAAUAUGGUAACCAUAUACCUCAUCUAAGUUACGGUUGAUUUUGAAUGUCAUGUCAUGAAAUUGAAUUAUGUCUCAAAGUUGAUUGUUUUAGGUGUGUAAUUUUGAUUAUCAACAGGGGAGGACUUGAAGGACGUGAAAAGGACUGUAAUACACAAAAUUGGUGAGUGCUUAGGAGAAAAAAGUCUAGCUGGAAAAUAUCUACGCCGCCGUAUAAUUCAACAGCGCAUCUUUAAUUUAGCUUUAUUAAGCAGUCAUGCUCUCAAUUGGGGUACAUGUAAUAAGAGAACAUGUUUUUGUGACUAGCCGUAAAUUUGGAUAAUAAUAGGUUAGGUUUCUUGUCUGGAAAUAUGCACAAAUCAAAGCAUGCAAAACAUGCUACAGAAUAACACUUAAUUUUAACUUCUAAGUUUCCACCAAAUUGAUGUGAAAUAUUAAUAUCAUACUUUGUUUAACAUUCAAGCUUCCAAACAAAUUGAAGUGCUUGCCUUAGAAUUUACUUUAUGUAAUAGAAAGGGCAUUCAAAUGCAUUUUUGGUUCGAUAACAUUUACUUAUUGUAGUUUGGAGCUUGCUUUCUAUACUUUAACUGAUUUUAUUCAUGGAUUCAUUAUGGUAGAUUGGUAAAAUGCCUUUUAUCGAUAACAAGCUUUAUCCGAUAAAAGCAGUUAAGUUGGUGUUGCAGGAACAUUGAUUAAAACUGAAAAGAAAAGCAAGAUAAUCUCUUGCAUUUGAGAAAUUUAGGGAACAACUUGUUUCAGAUGGCAAUGGAAAUUAAUUGGAUUUAUGGCUGUCUACACAAGUUUCUUAACACGCUAAAAAUUUGUUGACAUCCAUGUAUCAAUCAAGUUUGGUUAUCUACGUAGUUAACCUCUGUUUCAAUCUAAUUUGUAGGGAAGAUUCUGGUGAUCGAGGACAGGCUUCUAUUGAUGCCACAUCCUGUAAUGGUCGGGAGAUGUGUUCUUUACAUUGAUUCCUUCGAGCAGAGAAACUCUCCUUCCAAAUUAUGUGAAAAUUACUAUGAUAUGAUAGCUGAUGCUGAAUACGGAAUAGAGUUAGCAGAAAUUAAUGGCUUGAAAAUCGACAUUCAGCAAUUUUGACGAGUUUCUCAUUGAUAAUUUCUGUGUAGUUUUAGUUCUGGAUAUGACUGAACAUGUCAAAAAACAAGAACUCUUGGAAAGCAUGUACCUUAAAAAAUGUUUUUGAAAAAGCCUAAAUUUGGAAUAUGUUUGGGAGUUCUCAAUUGGGAUAUUGCAUAUCUUCUUAAGAUAAAGAGUGCUGAUCGCCAAUAUAUGUAAAAACUAGUGUACGGACACAAAUGGUUACAAAAUGAAUCUGAAUUUGAAAUUUACUCUUUUUAUUUAAUAUUGUCUAGUACUGGCGAAUGUUCACGUGCUUAUAGCCCUAUUUAAAUUAAUUUUUUUGUGAAGUGGGGGUCUGUUUGAAUAGUAUUUGAUGGCUA
rnacentral:lncRNA from 1 species